rnacentral:rRNA from 1 species
GCAGCCGCGGUAACACGUAGGGGGCGAGCGUUAUCCGGAUUCAUUGGGCGUAAAGCGCGCGCAGGCGGCGCGCCAAGCGGGACCUCUAAUCUGGGGGCUCAACCCCCAGCCGGGUCCCGAACUGGCGCGCUCGUGUCCGGUAGGGGAGGUCGGAAUUCCCGGUGUAGCGGUGGAAUGCGCAGAUAUCGGGAGGAACACCGAUGGCGAAGGCAGACCUCUGGGCCGCGACAGACGCUGAGGCGCGAAAGCUAGGGGAGCGAACAGGAUUAGAUACCCC